UACGUAGGGGGCAAGCGUUGUCCGGAAUCAUUGGGCGUAAAGCGCGUGUAGGCGGCUCGAUAAGUCCGUUCUGAAAGUCCAGGGCUCAACCCUGGGAUGCGGAUGGAUACUGCCGAGCUCGAGUCCGGAAGAGGCGAGUGGAAUUCCUGGUGUAGCGGUGAAAUGCGCAGAUAUCAGGAGGAACACCAAUGGCGAAGGCAGCUCGCUGGGACGUGACUGACGCUGAGACGCGAAAGCGUGGGGAGCAAACAGG
rnacentral:rRNA from 1 species